UCAAAAAUAAGCAAAUAAAAAAGAAUAAAAAUUAGACGUAAAAGUGUUCAAAAAAAAAAAAUUAAAUUGAAUGUACCAAAAUUAUCAGUACAUAAUAAACUUCUCGAAGACAUACAGGUUUUUAAUAAAAAAAUUUAAAUAAAUAAAAAAAUGACCGGUUAGAAGGUUCGGACUGAUAAAAAUGCGACAAAAAAUAUAGUCGAAAAACUUAAAAGGAACACGCCAGUUUAAACUACGCGGA
rnacentral:lncRNA from 1 species